AAAUAUCUUAGCAGCAGAUACACCACAUGCCAGCAACCCAAUAAUGAUUAUUUUAGGGUUAUCUGUCCCUAUUGUUGUACUGGCUAUAUUCACUGUCGGAAUUUGUUUGCGGAGACGGAAUAUUUUAACUAAGCAUAUUAUAGUUGAGGGGAAUAACAACAAUGUGCCUGUCCAUGAUUUCAUCAAAAAGAAAAGAUCAGGAAAUGUAAUUAUGACGGGUUUCUCUGCCACCAAACCUGUCAAGAAAAGAAAGAAACGAGGGUGGUCUCUUCCGUGUAGAAUUAUUCUGGAGAAACAAAAGAAUGAGCAUAACAUUGAGCAGAAAACGAAGAAACUUGGAAGGUUUAUUGAAGACACUGAUACUUUAAAGGAACGUCUUAGAGUGAAAAACAGACUUAGGCGCGGAGAAAGCUUUUGAUACUAAUUUCAUGAAGUUAUAAGUUUUCUUAUUGCUGUUGUCAUUUCUAUCGAACAUCAUUUUGCUUGUACAAUUUUAUGUUUUGCAAAAUAUCGUGUCGAUGUAUUUGAUAGAAUAAUUGAUAAUUUAAAUAUAGUUGACGAUAAAUACCCUGUUCAUUUGAAUAUUUUGACAGGACAUAAUAUUUUAUAAUUUGGUUCGAACGAGAACACAUAAAGAAAAACAUAUGAUUAGGAUAAAAUUCGUUCUUCUAAUAAUAUGAUAAUGUCAGCAUAUAGCGUUUUAUCUUACCUCCUAUACAUUUCUAGGAAUAUGAUUGGUUAAAAGCGUCCGCGUGGAGACCGUGUAUAUUCCAUAUUAGGUUAGUAGGGAGGCGGGGCUUAUUUCAUACACGGUUAGUGGUGUUACGUCCCUUUAUAAAAACAAAACGGUACUGAGAAAAAAUCUUAAAGGUUUCAACAGACGAAGAAAUUGAUGAUGAAGAUUGAAAUAAAUUCAUAAAACACAUUUAAACCUAAGAAGUUGUUAUUGUUGGCAUCUGUUUUUGUAGGAUCAAUGGAAGUAGUUUCUUAAUGCUAACGGUAUUGAAGACUUGCUCAUUUUGAUAGGUCACUAGUCUAAAUUUCACACGUUAAGAUAGUCGGUAAGAUAAAUUCGUUACAUAGUGUGCUAGUGACGUAAUACGGUAUA